rnacentral:rRNA from 1 species
CGGGUGGUAAUGCCGGAUGCUCCAUCACACCGCAUGGUGUGUUGGGAAAGCCUUUGCGGCAUGGGAUGGGGUCGCGUCCUAUCAGCUUGAUGGCGGGGUAACGGCCCACCAUGGCUUCGACGGGUAGCCGGCCUGAGAGGGCGACCGGCCACAUUGGGACUGAGAUACGGCCCAGACUCCUACGGGAGGCAGCAGUGGGGAAUAUUGCACAAUGGGCGCAAGCCUGAUGCAGCGACGCCGCGUGAGGGAUGGAGGCCUUCGGGUUGUAAACCUCUUUUGUUAGGGAGCAAGGCACUUUGUGUUGAGUGUACCUUUCGAAUAAGCACCGGCUAACUACGUGCCAGCAGCCGCGGUAAUACGUAGGGUGCAAGCGUUAUCCGGAAUUAUUGGGCGUAAAGGGCUCGUAGGCGGUUCGUCGCGUCCGGUGUGAAAGUCCAUCGCUUAACGGUGGAUCCGCGCCGGGUACGGGCGGGCUUGAGUGCGGUAGGGGAGACUGGAAUUCCCGGUGUAACGGUGGAAUGUGUAGAUAUCGGAAAAGAA